ensembl:lncRNA
UGCUGUUGUGUUUUGAUCUUGCUGUUGUGUUAUUGGUGUUGCUGUUGUGUAUUGAUCUUGCUGUUGUGUUAUUGGUGUUGCUGUUGUGUUUUGAUCUUGCUGUUGUGUUAUUGUAUGUUGCUGUUGUGUUAUUGGUGUUGCUGUUGUGUUAUUGAUCUUGCUGUUGUGUUAUUGGUGUUGCUGGUGUUGGCUGUUGUGUUAUUGAUCUUGCUGUUGUGUUAUUGGUGUUGCUGUUGUGUUAUUGGUCUUGCUGUUGUGUUAUUGAUCUUGCUGUUGUUGUUAUUGAUCUUGCUGUAGUGUUUUUUUUCUUUCUAAUUUGUCGCUGUGAUUUGGUUUUUCUCUUGUGUUUUUCUGACUUUUCUCGCAGUUUUUUCGCAGUUCACGAGUGUCGCGUUUACGAGUCGCCGUACUCGUCGAUCGAAUCUACUGCAGCACGUGCGACAACGUUCAACCCGAGCACAACCCUCGUCCGUAUGACUCCUCCCUGGAAAGUGACAAACCCCCCAAUGAGAAGCGCCCGUGCUUGUUCAAAUGUUCUAAGCACAUGCAUUAAAAUCCUCAAACCCAAACUCCCUUCCAGUAAACCCGAACUUCAGCUGAAGUGUUAACGGCCGAGGGAAAGUCUCAGGCAGCACAAGUCCCCAGCUCCUUCCCCUUCUCAGUGAGCGCAAUAAUAACCACGCUGGCAGAGACGAAGGUUUGGAUGGCCCUGACCUUGAGCACGUACAUCGUGACUCGGCCCUCGUCCGUGCCCACAGCAGCCGCCGUUCCCUCCAAAAAUUCCCACAUUCCCCUUCACGGCACAGGAAGAAAUGACAGAGCUCAUUUCCCUCCACGAUGAAACGUUGUUGAUCUUCACAUUAACGCGACCUGAUGCGAUCUCGGACAUGCCGAAAACGGGGAACUAUUUCGAGCCAUUUCCUGCUUUUUAAAACCGUACAGGCAGAUUAGCCUAAUUGAAGAGGGCAAAGCAGGAAGUUUUAAAGUCACAUCGGUAAUUAAUAGGUCUCCUUGGCUGAGAGGUGUGUGUGCAAGGAUCCAGGAAAGUUCUGGAAAGAAUAUAUGAAAACCGGGUUAACGAAGCACGUAUAACGCGAGAACUUCUGAGCACGGUUCUAAACCCCUUGGAACUUAAAAUGUUCAUUUUUAUAUUUUUAGAAAGCAUACAUUUGAUCGUUUUUUUUAUUAGCAGGUUCCUACAUUUUGCUUUUAAACAAGCAGCAGUGAGUGUUUCAACAUAAAAUACACAAAACGCACAUCCAGGACAUUCUAAUGUUUUCCUUAAAAUUAUUAUUAUUAUUAUUAUUAUUAUUAUUUUUAAAUUAAAAAUAAUUUG